AUUGAACGCUGGCGGCAGGCUUAACACAUGCAAGUCGAGCGGAGAUGAGGUGCUUGCACCUUAUCUUAGCGGCGGACGGGUGAGUAAUGCUUAGGAAUCUGCCUAUUAGUGGGGGACAACAUUCCGAAAGGAAUGCUAAUACCGCAUACGCCCUACGGGGGAAAGCAGGGGGUCUUCGGACCUUGCGCUAAUAGAUGGGCCUAAGUCGGAUUAGCUAGUUGGUGAGGUAAAGGCCUACCAAGGCGACGAUCUGUAGCGGGUCUGAGAGGAUGAUCCGCCACACUGGGACUGAGACACGGCCCAGACUCCUACGGGAGGCAGCAGUGGGGAAUAUUGGGCAAUGGGCGGAAGCCUGAUCCAGCCAUGCCGCGUGUGUGAAGAAGGCCUUUUGGUUGUAAAGCACUUUAAGCGAGGAGGAGGCUACCUGGAUUAAUACUCUAGGAUAGUGGACGUUACUCGCAGAAUAAGCACCGGCUAACUCUGUGCCAGCCGCCGCCGUAAAAC
rnacentral:rRNA from 1 species